UUCUGCGCUAUCUAGACCUUUCUUACACUGAGAUUACAAGCAUACCUAAUUUAAAGCUUAGUGUAAGAAAGGUCUAGAUACCGCAGAAG
rnacentral:pre_miRNA from 1 species